rnacentral:lncRNA from 1 species
UCCGAGUAAUUUGAUAACUAGGUUAAACCGGCCGCCUCUAGUGCAAGUGGCAAAAAAUUUGAUUGUUGAUAUCCGAGAUCCUAAGUUCGAAUCCUAAUUGAUUCACAUUUUCAGCUAAGUUUAUUUCUAAACGAAAUAAACGAAGCAGAUAGCAUGCUACCUAUCUCUUAAAAAAAAAUAAUAACUAAGUUAAACUCGUCCCAAUUUCCCACUCUCC